rnacentral:snoRNA from 1 species
ACGCCUUGUGCCUCGCUCGGUUCGAUUUUUGUUUACUAGUUGAGUCUUGAGCUGGAUACUUUCAGUUUAUACUAAAGUAAUAGGCAAUAGUAAUAUCGUAAAAGAUUUUCUUUGAGUGCGAUAACACCAAGGUUUUCCUACAAGGAUGCUGGAUGGUGGUAUUGUAAUUAUAAAUCUUUACAUUA